ACGGUAGGAAGAAACAGAAAGGGAGAGCCAGGCAUGUCCAAGGAGAGGGAGAGUCUUUGGAGAAAGGGUGUGGCCAACAGGGCCAACCAGAGAUCCGCUACCAGAAGUCCCACUGCAGAUGUGGCUGGUGAUUCAACCACUGGCUGGCACUGGUUGUUACCCAGGCAACGGCAUCCUGUUCUUUGAAUAGGUCUGGCUUUGCUGUGUGGAGGCAAUAGGGAUCCACCAGGACAUUUCAAGCAGAGGGCUGAUCUGCUUAAAUUUGCAUCUUGGGCUGAUCACCCUGGCAACAGAGAGAGGCUGUUGCAUUAAUUCAAGCACUAAACCUGCCUAGAAGAAGGAUAAGAUCACUAAUGAGUGCUUACAGACAGCUGGCUCCAGACAUCAAAAGUACAUUUAUUUGAUGGAGUUCCACUGGGUUGAACCGCUUAGUGAUAAGACCAAAGAAAUAAAAGGAGGUGAAGAUCAUGUCAAUUUGCCAAGCAAAAUCUUUCAAAGCUAUGACACAACAAUAAUCUUAAAAGUGAAACUUUCAGUCCUCUUACCAGCAACGGAGGCAGAGGGAGAGAAGGAAGGGGCUGAGAAAAAGCUGCACCAAAGAGGUUCUCCUGGCCUCCCUAUUUCCCCUCCUAGCUACUGGGUGGAUAACAGAGAAGCAAGAUAAGUCAUUUCACUUUCCACUAUGACUACUGUGACAAAUGCCCCACUCCAAGCUUAUCAGUGGUUUCAAAUACAGCCCUGGGUGGUUUCAGAAAGUUCUCAUGUCAGUGCAUUCCCUCCCUGGAUCACUUUAAAACAGAAGAGGAAAGGUAAUGAAAAUACUAUUAAAGCCAUCAUCAUGGGACAGGUGUUAUCAUGGUUUUCUUUCUAUAAAGAAGGUUAAUAUUAGGAGAAGCUGAAUGACUUUCUCCUAAUCACCCAGCCUAAGAAGCGACAGCCUAGUUUCAAACCCUGGUCUGUCUGGCUCUGGGAUCUGCUCUCCCAAUGAGUCUCUGUGCUCUGCUGUCUCAUCUGAUGAGAAGAUGAGUGUCGACAAAUCCUUUGAGAAAGAAAGACUGCUGGGCAGUAAUUUUGUACUGGUUCAAAUAUAGUUCCCAAACUGUCCAGAUACCCAGAGACACCUAUUAAAUGGUUGAGCCCAGAGCCAAUGUGGAGAUUGUUAGCAGAGAAGAAAUUACUCAUUUUAUGGCCUUAGUGUCAGGGGAAGGUGUAUUUUAAUAAAUAAUGUAAAUAAUAGAUAUUUAUUUAAUAUAUAAUACAUGGUUGAUGUAAAACAAGCCCCUGGUAAUGUUUAUCUGACUGAAAAGACAAUGUGAGCAUUUACGUGACAACAAGAUGAGUGGGUCCAAAGGAACACUUCCUGUCAAGUGUCCCCACCAACAUGUUCUAUUUGUCUUAGUGGCAGCUGUCACCUCCUGCCAGUAAGUCACAUUUCUUAGACAGAACGGCCUCCCCUCACCAACGCAGGAGAUACAGACACCACAACCAGCAUCUAAAAUUUUGGCAAAGGAAUACCGAGACUUCCCAAAGUGAGCACCUUCAGUAGAAGGCGAGGUUUUAACCUCAACUAUGAUAUGACAUUCUAAAGUAUUCUUCAGUGUUGACACAAUAGUUCCAUAAGUAAUCUGAGCUCUGGCAAACACACUCCAAGUAAUUUUUUUGAAUUUCUUU